GCCCUCAGGCGGCCUUCCCGCGCUCGGCCCGCGUUUGCAGGAAGGCGGCUGCUUGGGGUGGCUCAUUUUAGUGCGAAAUUGAGCCCAAUAUUAUAGUUUAAUGAAGGGCUGCUUCAAGUUAAAUAAUGACCCCGGCAUUGUAUUUAUAUGAAUGAAGAAUUAACCUUAAAAGGUUGCCCUUCUCAGAAAAUGGAUUGCGUGCUUGGCUCUCUCUAUUGAUUAGCUUGGGUAUUUAAAGUGCGGCAUUUUAUCUCUCCGGCCUCCCGGUAAAUUUGUCAUGAUGAUACUUAAAGGAGCAAAUUUACGUUGUUUAUUUUCACAAACCUUUUUGGCAUAUAUCUGGGGCUUCUUAUGGCACCUUUGAGCUAUAUAGUAUUGUGUGAAAGAACAGUGAUAACCCUUCUGCUUAAAUAAGCAUGACAGUCUAACAUCUCUGUUGAGCUGAAAUGCCACUGAGGAGGAUGCUGCAGUGUGAAAUGUGUAUUGCAUUGCAGCUGAUGGAGUGGAGCGAGCAAUUCAGAGGAGGUUUUCAAGAGGUCUGGAGUCUUCCCAUGUCCAGUGACUGAUGGGAGGGUUUGUCAGAAUUUCUGCUCACGCCAAAAAUUGGAGUUCAUCUCUCCUUGGAGGCUGCCAGACAAUGGGAGCCAUCCUAAUAAUUGCAAGUCCCAGUAAAUGUUCUAGGGAGUAACUUCCCCCUUCCUUGAUGCAACCUGAAAGUGCAGCCCUCCAGUUUGCAUUUCAAGUUCCAAGUCAGCCGUGUCAAGAUUUGAGCAACAACCAAGAAGGAUAAUGGCUCAGAUAUGACGGUUCAGUGAUAAAGAAAUGGAGUGUGCUUGAGCUGGAGGCCUCCCACACGCCAUCACUCCCUGUCCUCUGGCUCCUGCUGCCUGCCCGGACACAGAGCUGUGCAAGGAAAGGGGACUGUCCUCAAAGGGCACCACAGGCUGCACUGCUGCUGGCAGGCAAAAAGCACCUUUGCCUAUCCAGGUUUGGCUCUGCCAGCGGUAAGAAAAGACAUUGUUUGUCUGAAGAGACAAGGGUGUGGUGAAAAUACUCUGUGCCAGCCAAGUGAACCAAAACACUAUCUGAAUUACUACACAGGCUGGAAAAUAAAAUUUAAUAACAGAAGAUCUGGAUGCCUCCUGUGCUGAGAGACGGAGAGAAAAAGAAUCACAGGAAUUGCUAUGUACAGUUGGAGCAUCUGCACCAUGAAGUUCACCCUGAAUCAAUGGACACUCAGAUGCCUUCACUUCCAGCAGAGAGGACACAAUUCUCAGGCUGAAUUAGGCCCUUUGGAGAAGUUUACCAAAAUCUCCAUGGGUUACAGACACAAGACUUUUCUCUUACACUGAUCUGGACUGAGCACUUGACAGGCUGUCUCUGACAGAAGAAUACAGUUCAUCAAAAGUGUCUGCAGGUUGUCAAACUCAGUGAGAUUUGGGGACACUCGGAGGCUGUCAUGGCCAACAAGAAGAUUUUCUGUAGGGUUCUGCCAUCAUUCACCCUCAGGAAAUAAUCACUCACUACAUUCUGCAUGCUCUCAUGAUAGAGGUCUAUUUGAGAGAAAAGAGCCAUUUUAUCAAAGGACAAUAUAUCCCUUCUCUUGGUCCAUGUAGCUUCCAUUAUCAGACCAUAAUAAAUCAUAUUUAUGUUCUCAGUUAAUAAGACUGAUUACAAUGCAGGUUACAGGCAUGGGAAAAGAAAAUCAGGUGAAAAGAUGUUUUAAUGAAAAUAUGAUAAGCAAACAGCUUCUUGUGAGCAUUUUAGGCUGUUAUUUGUAAUGAUCACAGGCAAUUUUUGAUACAUCUUCUUUAGCAAUGGUUUAAGCUGCAUAAAUUGGCUUGCCACUUUAUACACUGAAAUAGGAAGAAUCCCGGUGUCCUUCUUAUGUUGUCUAGAAUCAUUAUAUACAUUAUAAGCAUAAAAUGAGUUUAAUGUAUGUGCUUUGAAAAGAAGGGGAAAACAGAAAAUCAGGGAAGACUGAUUUUAAUGCUGCUCAGAAUGAUUUUGAAAUUUUCUACUCAUCUUUGUUACUAACGGUGCAUUUUCCAUGAAAUUUAGGAAUGACAUGUACUGCUUUCAUCUCCUUAAAAUUAAUAUACUGUGCUCUCUGUUUUUCUCAAU